AUUGAACGCUAGCGGCAGGCUUAACACAUGCAAGUCGAGCGAGCGGCGGACGAGUGAGUAAUGUAUGGGAAACUGAAUGAUGGCGGGGGAUAACUACUGGAAACGGUAGCUAAUACAGCAUACCAUCAGAUGUGCCAAGAUGGGAUGAGCUAGUAGGUGGGGGAAUGGUUCACCUAGGCGACGAUCCCUAGCUGGUCUGAGAGGAUGACCAGCCACACUGGAAAGUAUACACGGUCCAUACUCCUACGGGAGGCAGCAGUGGGGAAUAUUGCACAAUGGGCGCAAGCCUGAUGCAGCCAUGCCGCGUGUAUGAAGAAGGCCUUCGGGUUGUAAAGUACUUUCAGCGGGGAGGCGUUACCCGCAGAAGAAGCACCGGCUAACUCCGUGCCAGCAGCCGCGGUAAUUC
rnacentral:rRNA from 1 species